GGACACCUCCCACCAUGUACGUGGCAGGUACUCAUGUGACUCAGCCAACAUUGUCUAUAUCAUACAUUGCAGGCAAGAGCGCCCAGAGGCAUGGUACAUUGGGGAAACCGAGCAAAGGCUACGGCAACAGAUGAAUGGGCACCACACAACAAUCAACAGACAGAAGUGUUGCCUCCCAGUUGGGACACUUCUGCGGUACAGGACAUUCGACCUCGGACCUUCGGGUGACCAUCCUCCAAGGCAGACUUCAGGACAGGCAACAGCGAAAAGUAGCCAAGCAGGGGCUGAUAGUUAAGUUCAGUACCCAUAGGGAGGGCCUCAACUGGGCCCUUGGGUUCAUCAUACUACAGGUUAGAAUCGAUCUAAAAUCAUGGCAUAGACAGAGAACACAGGGCGCUAACACCUUCUACAUAUUGUGUAACUAACCCAAUUGUUACAGUUAACCUGAGAAUGCAACUUUAAAAAAAAGGUUUUUUGAUUUACACACGGAAGAAGCUAAACUAUCAUGGUUUUCGAACAGAUGAAAGACUCAACAAUCAAGGUAAUUUUCAAUGUGUAGUUUCAGUUACAUCAUACUGUAAUUUUUUGCUAUAAAUGCUGUGCCUUACAAUUUUGUCCCCCACAAUCACCUGAAGAAGGUGCGGUUCUUUGAAAGCUAGUGUGCUUCCAAUUAAACCUGUUGGACUAUAA